rnacentral:lncRNA from 1 species
CUAGGUGAUGCAUGCAAUGCAACUACUUGAGGUGAGAUGGGCUCAGUACUAUCCCAGACUAAUUAUUCUAGUUAUAUUCUAAAUUAAUAUUUUGAACUUUUGGUAAUUAUUAUUGUUAUUAAGAAAUCAUUUCGAACCAUGUAUUUUACCCCCACAAAAUUGUUUGAAGUUUUAUUAUUUCGCAGGUUAUGAUGUCAAUGAAAUUCAUUAGUGUUAAUUAAUUUGAUCUAUUUUCCGCAUUCAUGAUUUAAAAAGGCAAUUAAUGCUUCCACCAUAAGUUUAGAGUUUCUAAAUUUGUGGCAGU